rnacentral:lncRNA from 1 species
AAUUGAAUAAUUUAACGAUUUCCCUUUCAUAUUUGAUAUUGAUUAGCUCACCAAUUAAUACGUAAUGGAACUGGCUUCGCUUUUCUGAUUGAUAGAUAAAAUAAUAGAAUUAGGAAAUCCUCUAUUUACUGAAUAAUAACUUUUUUGUUGACAAAAACUGGCUUCGCUUUUCUGAUUGAUAGAUAAAAUAAUAGAAUUAGG